UGACAAGAAUAUCAAAGGGUAGGAAUGGGAAUGUAUACAAUCAGCGUUGACGUUGUUUCAGAACGUUUCAGAAGCAUGAUGGGCGAUGGAGCUACCGCCAAAGGAUUCGUUGGUGUUCGGUAGAACUCGGCAGAGUCGUUUUUGGUCGUGACGCAGAUGUAACAUGGACGCCGCCGGUGACUACAACCAGCAUGGAUACCGGAUCUCAGCAGCCACUGAAUUCAGUUCGGUCUCCUCCAGUAUCCGUUCGAGAGGAGAACUAUGGUGGAAAAACUUAAUGUCAAAGAGCUUGGACCAGAUCAGCCCGACGUAAAGAUAAGCCAGCAGGAGAAGGAGAGAGAUAAGGCAUGGAUGAGUCAGGAGUUACAGACAUGAAACAUUUUUCUGAGAAGGUGAAGAAACACGAGUCAUCCCGGGCACACAUGGACAACAACACGGUGAAGCUAGCCAUGCUAGGCAGCAGAGCUAACGUUGCCAUGCAGGGAACAACAGCAGCUGGGUGCAGAGGUUUUUCACACCAUCCUGAGCCAUGCAAAAGAAGAUUCUUGUCACCACACCCAUGACCACAGCCGAAUCAGAAAGGUGCUUUUCUACUUUAAAGAGGAUUAAGACUUUCCUUGAGGAACACCAUGACACAGGAUGGGCUGAACGCUCUUGCCAUGCUCUCCAUGGAAAAAAAAGCUUGUCACAAACAUUCCUGACUUCAAUAAAAAGCUAAUCGAGAGCUUUGCCACUCAGAAGGGCAAAAUUUCUGUCCAAAUGAGGUAUCACACACACACAAAUGCAUCCACUUGAUCUUUGUAUAAAGUUGACCUUGGCACAACACUCCAGAAAUAUUUAACAGUGUAAAUUUCUGGCAUUUUGUCUAAGUGGUGUUUACUACCAUUACUGUAACAGUGACCUGCUCAUAAUUUUUCGUGUUCACUCAAAUGUUGAAAUUAAACAAAAUGUUUUUGUUACUUGCCUCUUGCAUUGCCUGUUUACCAUUUAUGGUCGUGUUAUUUUAUGUGCAAUUUAAUGCAGUAUUUUUCAACCUUGGUCUGCAAGGCAGCGUGCCAAUAGUCAGACACACCUGGAUUAAUCAGUUUGUCCAAUGAUGUAAGACAGGAAAUAAAAGAGCUGUGCUUAAUUCAGGAAAUAGUGGAGUUGUGCACAAAGCUCAGAAAGCACAAGUUUGUUUAAAAAUAAAAAAAUAGCACAGCCCCACCAAAAAUAUUUUUCACCAGCUGCCACUGUACUAAAGUAUUAAUUAUUUAACAAAAAAAAAAGCAAUUUAGGUCAAUAAGUUGAAAAUUAGAAUCACGUUAGUUAAUCAAUUCAAAAGUACCAUAGACCAUGUGGUAAUAAACAGGAAAAGGAACAAAAACAUCCAAAACAGUUUAAACUACAAUAACCAAAGCACUCAAUUAACACUUUCAGUAUUGGUCUAACAUUUUGCCAUCACAAUAAAAAAGACACGUUGCUAUUUAAUGAAUAAAAUCACUUAAUAGGAGUUGAAGCUAGUUAGCUAAGCUUUAGCUUAUCAGCAGUUUCAAUGGGCCAACUGUAGAGCCGCAUUUUUUGUGAAAAAAAAUCAAAACUAACAAAGCAAGUUACUCAGUGUCUAGCUGAUUAAAGAAGUACACAAUCUGAAAUUAAUCGGAAGGGUUGUCACAAGCUGUUAAGAAGUAUUCUUUGAAUAAGUAUCCAUCUCAUAGUACAGCACGAGUUGCGCUGGAUCAUAGACUGUAUGUUAAACCAUGGUGACAUCAGGCCGUUUUUAAAAUGCAAUUUUCUAUGUAGAUGGCUAGACAGCGCUCAUGUGCUGCAUAAUUUUUUUUGGCUUUUCUCUGCAAUUCACCGUUUCUUACUUCACCUUGCACUUCCCACUAAAACAGAAACCCACUGACAAAGACAGUAAAGUUAUAAAUUAAAAAUGAGAUUAAUGCAAUUAAACAGCAUAUCAUGAUAAAUAUGGCUGUAAUUAAUUAGUCGCUAAUAAUGUGAUAAUUUUACACCCCUUCUUAUUGUGUUUGUGUCUCUUGUGUCAGGAGUGACGUGGAAAAAAAUCAUCACCAUCUUCUGCAGAGCUGAUUCUAAACAAUAGCUGUUGAGGGGGUCCAUACACAUUUGGUGCAAUAACAUUUGUGUUUUGUCCCUGGGAACUUGAAGUCAUGGAGAAAAAUUCUGAAAUUUCCUAUCUUUUACAGGUACAUAACA